rnacentral:rRNA from 1 species
UACAGGGGGGGCAAGCGUUGUUCGGAAUUACUGGGCGUAAAGGGUCAGUAGGCGGCCAACUAAGUCCGACGUGAAAUCCCCAGGCUUAACCUGGGAACUGCGUCGGAUACUGGAUGGCUUGAAUUCGGGAGAGGGAUGCAGAAUUCCAGGUGUAGCGGUGAAAUGCGUAGAUAUCUGGAGGAAUACCGGUGGCGAAGGCGACUACCUGGCCUGUUCUUGACGCUGAGGCGCGAAAGCUAGGGGAGCAAACGGG